rnacentral:sRNA from 1 species
AGUUAACAACAACUAAUUGUAAUGAUGCAGUUAGCGCAGGCUCUUUAUUGAGCCGAUCCCCUCGGCCCGGAUCAGGAUAAGAUCUGGGCCAUCUUUU